rnacentral:lncRNA from 1 species
CUUGAUGCGGUGAAUGCCGAUGAUAUUUCGGGAGCAGAACUCCUGUCACAGUCCCUGCGGACACGGACACGGACAGACCACCGUCUCCCUCCCACGUAUUGACUCUGCAAGGUGGAGGUCGCUGGAAAACAGUCCUGUUCCACAUGAUUAAGAUUGAACUCGUGCAAUCAGCCGUUGCCGGGACCCCCAAACAGCGUUGCACGUUCCCCACUGUACGACCACUCACAACAAUGCGCACCCAAGCUAACGGCGCGGUGCAAAACAGGCGCGAUUCAACCUCAGUGGCUAAAAUCGCUCCUGGUCGCUUGGGGGUGCACAUCUCACAGCAGGCUCAGGGCCAGGCUUUCAGAAUCCUCCAAUCCAGAGCAGGGGGCUCAGGUUAGGUCCGAGUAGCGUCGGGCACGGAACGUGUCAUCCAUUCCGUCGGUUGCUAAAAACGACAUCAUGAUUUCGCUAGCUGAUUUAGAGGAUAAUUUGUUGUUACGUUUUUACCUUCGGGACUCAGGAGGCGAGAACGAUCACGUGUCGGCAGGUCUUGUCAGUUGUCAAAACUUGGCUUAGGCAAGCGUUGGGGCACAUCACCACGCGGCUCUGUGCAUGUAUUCCCAGGCGCCCACUGUCUAGGUGUUAACGGUUUAUAGAUACAGAAGACGUGACUGUGGGCUGCAGAGCCAUGCCAGCAAUACAGGAUUGCUCGCCUCCCUUGGUCGGUUGGUCUCCCUUCUGUCCCAAUAUGUCCUAAUGUGGCCCGUCACAAGAAUAUUCCCAGCGGCAUUCAUGGUCGUGAUGCGAAUGUUAUAAAAUUUUUAUUUUUCUGUACAUCGAUAUUAAUUAUGCCAUUGAUGAAUCCUUACUCUCUGUGCAGUAUGAUCCGUUGAAAGAUUUCAUAGGACAUUUUUAGAAAGUUCCACGGUAAUUGAUGGCUAUUCCAUUAUUCGAUAGUUAAUGUCUCGAUCACACUUAGCCAACUGAUCCGCCUCAAUCGCAUUGCGGCUGCCCAUUUCCGACAAG